CGCUUGGUGUGUUUACCUGAAAAAUAAAAAUAAAACCCCCAGAAUAUACAUACAAAGGACUUCAGGACAAAUUUUGUGGAGAUGGCUGAAUUUCGUGAUUUCCGCAAAAUAUGUGAAGUCACAAUUUGAGUAGUUCCCUAUCUAUGAUCAUUCAAACCCUAGCAUCAUAUGAAACUAUGGAAGCAGCUAAAUGAUUCAUGACCCACUAUCCACCCACGCACCACACGUUGACGAUCCAGCAGAAAACCACCACUGUCAGUGGACAACGAUCAGGAAACAUUUGUAGCAGAAUGAUUAGAUAGGAGCACACCUUCACACUUUUCCCCAAAAGCUGCAUUAAAAAAAGAUAUAUUUGCAACAAACCCUAAAGAUCA